AAUCUUGCACAAUGGGCGAAAGCCUGAUGCAGCGACGCCGCGUGAGUGAAGACGUACUUCGGUAUGUAAAGCUCUAUCAGCAGGGACGAUAAUGACGGUACCUGACUAAGAAGCCCCGGCUAACUACGUGCCAGCAGCCGCGGUAAUACGUAGGGGGCAAGCGGUAUCCGGAUUUACUGGGUGUAAAGGGAGCGUGGGUGGCGAGGCGAGUAAGAUGUGAGAACCCGGGGCUCAACCCCGGGAUUGCAUUUGAAACUGGUUUGCUAGAGUGCAGGAGAGGUAAGUGGAAUUCCUAGUGUAGCGGUGAAAUGCGUAGAUAUUAGGAGGAACACCAGUGGCGAAGGCGGCCUACUGGACUGUAACUGACACUGAGGCUCGAAAGCGUGGGGAGCAAACA
rnacentral:rRNA from 1 species